rnacentral:rRNA from 1 species
AUUGAACGGCGGCGGCAUGCCUUACACAUGCAAGUCGAACGGCAGCACGGGUGCUUGCACCUGGUGGCGAGUGGCGAACGGGUGAGUAAUACAUCGGAACGUACCUUAUCGUGGGGGAUAACGCAGCGAAAGUUGCGCUAAUACCGCAUACGCCCUGAGGGGGAAAGCGGGGGACCGUAAGGCCUCGCGCGAUUAGAGCGGCCGAUGUCUGAUUAGCUUGUUGGUGAGGUAAAAGCUCACCAAGGCGAUGAUCAGUAGCUGGUCUGAGAGGACGAUCAGCCACACUGGGACUGAGACACGGCCCAGACUCCUACGGGAGGCAGCAGUGGGGAAUUUUGGACAAUGGGGGCAACCCUGAUCCAGCAAUGCCGCGUGAGUGAAGAAGGCCUUCGGGUUGUAAAGCUCUUUUGUCAGGGAAGAAACAGCAGCUCUAACACAGACUGCGAAUGACGGUACCUGAAGAAUAAGCACCGGCUAACUACGUGCCAGCAGCCGCGGUAAUACGUAGGGUGCGAGCGUUAAUCGGAAUUACUGGGCGUAAAGCGUGCGCAGGCGGUUAUACAAGACAGGCGUGAAAUCCCCGGGCUUAACCUGGGAAUGGCGUCUGUGACUGUAUAGCUAGAGUGUGUCAGAGGGGGGUGGAAUUCCACGUGUAGCAGUGAAAUGCGUAGAUAUGUGGAGGAACACCAAUGGCGAAGGCAGCCCCCUGGGAUAACAC